AGCCUUUAACUUCUCAAAUUCUGUAUCAUAUGAAGAAGAUAAAGUGAAGUUUCGGAGAGACUGGAUUUCAGGAAUAGAGACAUUUGGCAGGUUGAUGUCUUCCCCUAGCCAAGAGGCAACUUUCUCCAGCGAAUCUUCUGCACUUUGGAAAACUUCGUUUAAAGAAGAGACUGUAUCUUCAAUUUCAUCUGCAAUCGCAUGCAAUGUAUCAUUUACCGCAGUUCCUAUCUCUUCACCGACAUCAGCAACUGCAUCCAAGAUGCCAUCGAUUGCCAGCUGAAUAAGACAAAGAUAGGUACCAUAGCUAAACUCGAUAAAGAAAAUAAACACAUUUUCAGCAGCAAUGAGACUGUCUGAUAUUCCAGAAAGAAUGAUCUUAACUGUACUUUGAAUGCCAUCUUUCGCAACCCUAACAGCCGCAUUAGCAAUUAAGGAUGGGCUAUCAAGGAGAAUGUCGACUUUUUCUUGUAUGUAGUUACAAGUAGCUUGUUCAUCAUUGACAAAAUCUCCUAUUUUUGUGUUCAAAUCCUUGGUAAAUAAGAAAAACUGCAUGAGAAUAUAGAGACAGCAUAAUGACCAGGGUGAUAUCCAACACUGUGAAAGCCUCGCUGCCAAACUAAGAUAUGAAGACGCCAUUACAGGCUGUUCGAUCUCUGCCUUGUAAUAAAUGUGUUAGACGGUUUUGCAUUUCUUUGUUUAGACAUUUUCGAAAGAACAAAGAAACUCAGAAUUAAACAAAGAAUUACCAUAAAAGAAGUGGAAACUGUAAAUGGCUUAGAAACAGCAUUAAAUGAAACAUAAAAU